AUUGAACGCUGGCGGCAGGCCUAACACAUGCAAGUCGAGCGGAUGAAGGUAGCUUGCUCCUGGAUUCAGCGGCGGACGGGUGAGUAAUGCCUAGGAAUCUGCCUGGCAGUGGGGGAUGACGUCCGGAAACGGGCGCUAAUACCGCAUACGUCCUGAGGGAGAAAGUGGGGGAUCUUCGGACCUCACGCUAUCAGAUGAGCCUAGGUCGGAUUAGCUAGUUGGUGGGGUAAAGGCCUACCAAGGCGACGAUCCGUAACUGGUCUGAGAGGAUGAUCAGUCAAACUGGAACUGAGACACGGUCCAGACUCCUACGGGAGGCAGCAGUGGGGAAUAUUGGACAAUGGGCGAAGGCCUGAUCCAGCCAUGCCGCGUGUGUGAAGAAGGUCUUCGGAUUGUAAAGCACUUUAAGUUGGGAGGAAGGGCAGUAAGUUAAUACCUUGCUGUUUUGACGUUACCAACAGAAUAAGCACCGGCUAACUUCGUG
rnacentral:rRNA from 1 species